rnacentral:lncRNA from 1 species
CACUUCCUCUCUCUCUCCCUCUGUCUCUGUCUCUGUCUCUCUGUCUCUCCCUCUCUGUCUCCCUCUCUCUCUGUCUCUCCCUUUCUCUCCCUCUGUCUCUGUCUCUCUUUCUCCCUCUGUCUCUGUCUCUCCCUCUCUCUGUCUCUCUCUCUCCCUCUGUCUCUUUCUCUCUGUCUCUCCUCUCUCUCUCUUCCUCUGUCUCUGUCUCUCCCUCUCUCUCUCUGUCUCUUUCUCUCUGUCUCUCGCUCUCUCUGUCCUCUCUCUCUCUGUCCCUCUCUCUCUGUCUUCUGUCCCUCUCUCUCUGUCUCUCUCUCUCUGUCCCUCUCUCUCUGUCUCUCUCCCUCUCUCUGUCUCUCUCCCUCUCUCUGUCUCUUUCUCUCUGUCUCUCCCUUUCUCUCUGUCUCUCCCUUUCUCUCUGUCUCUCCCUUUCUCUCUGUCUCUGUCUCUCUGUCUCUCCCCCCUCUCUCUCUCUCCCCCUCUGUCUCUGUCUCUCUGUCUGUCUCUCUCUCCCCCUCUGUAUCUCCCUCUCUCUCGUCUCUCUCCCUCUCUCUCCCUCUGUCUCUGUCUCUCUGUCUCUCGCUCUCUCCCUCUGUUCUGUCCCUCUUCUCUGUCUCUCUCUCUGCCCUCUGUCUACUUUCUCUCUGUCUCUCCCCUCUCUCUCUCUCUGUCUCUCUCUCUCUCCUCUCUCUCUGUCUCUCCCUCUCCCUCUGUCUCUCCCUCUCUAUGUCUCUCUCUCCCUCUCUCCCUCUGUCUCUUCUCUCUGUCUCUCCCUCUCUCCUCUCUCUCUCUUCCUCUGUCCCUGUCUCUCCCUCUCUCUCUCUGUCUCUCUCUCUGUCUCUCACUCUCCCUCUGUCUCUCUCUCUGUCUCUCCCUCUCUCUCUGUAUCUCUCUCUCUGUGUCUCUCCCUCUCUCUCUGUAUCUCUCCCUCUCUGUCUCUCUCUCUCUGUCUCUCUCCCUCUGUCUCUGUCUCUCCCUCUCUCUCUCUGUCUCUCUCUCUUUGUCUCUCGCUCUCCCUCUGUCUCUCCCUCUCUCUGUCUCUCUCUUCCUCUGUCUCUGUCUCUCUGUCUCUCUGUCUCUCCCUCUCUCUCUCUCCCUCUGUCUCUGUCUCUCCCUCUCUCUCUGUCUCUCGCUCUCUCUCUGUCUCUCUCUCUCUUCCCCUCUGUCUCUCCCUCUCUCUCUCUCCCUCUCUCUCUGUCUCUCUCCCUCUCUCUCUCGUCUCUCUCUCUUCCUCUGUCUCUGUCUCUCCCUCUCUCUGUCUGUCUCUCUCACUCUGUCUCUCUCCCUCUCUGUUUCUGUCUCUCUCCCCCUCCCAGCCCCCUACAGUACCUUCUAUUCCUUGUCACUCAGGCAGGCCAUCAUUCCUCAGCCAACUCUCUCUCAUGAUUAUAAGAGAAAUCUCCCCUCGAAAGCCUCCGAGUGUUUGUGCAUCUUCAGGGCCUGUGGGCGGCACUGUCAUG